GAGCUGCAGCAUCCAGAGCUGACUGAGUUUCUGGCCUAGUGUCAAAACUUUGUUUUGAGUCAAUCCACCAAUGGGGAUUGCAUUUUUGCAACUGUUAUUUUGCCUCUCAGUCUAGCCCUUAGUGUUUUUCCGCAUGCCAUCGUGUACAACUUGAUUCUCAAAUAUUCAAUAAAGACAGUAUACUAUCGCCUAUAACAUCUUUUUCCCUGGAAAAAAAUCUCUUGUAAUUUUUGCAGAAAAUUAGAACUGCCAUCGUGGGUUAGACCAAUAGUCCACCUAAUCUAGUAUCCUGUCUUGUGACAGUGGCCAAUGCCAGGUGCUCCUAAGGGAAUGAUCAGACCAGGCAAUGACUCAGUGAACCAUUUCAUUGUCCACUCCCAGC